CCGAUCUCGUAACGCGCAACGCACCCUUGAUGCGCACUAAUGCUGUCUAGAUAGUGAGCUCGACAGAUCUUGAGACGCAGCCGCUGAGUGCUCCUUUAAAAACUAUCCGAUAGGAAACAGCGGAAGUAUAAUCCAAGUACAAUCCAGUGCAAUUUAACUUUGAUUAUUUGCAGUUUUUUAUUAGUCACUUAUCUGCGGUUUUUAUCAAAACCUUUUAAGUCAAAAGGAAUUUUAAACAUAAAAAUAUUAUUGUGAAAAAUCACUGCCGUAUCCACAAUAUGUCUGUGACUGUGACAGCACACACUGAGCGAAGCAUGUUAAUGAUCCUGGACUGAGCUGGUCAGAUAAAGAGAAAAUAACAUACACUGCUGCACUUGUACCUGGAGAGAAGAAAGGCGCUGAAUGCAGAGCUACAAAGAGCUGUGGCUUCCAGCUGCGAACAUGCUGGGAUUGCAGUCGGUGGUUGAGAGGAAGCUGAUGAGGGAGCAGUUCCUCAAACAGGUCUGGAGAUGGAAAGAUGAAAAGGGGGAUGAGAUUUAUUAUCAGCUGAGAAAACGAGGUGCAUCUCUUGACUGGAGCAGAGCCUGUUUUACGAUGGAUCCGUGCCUGGAUUAAAGUUCCUAAGAUUGCUUUGGGAGUCUCCUACAAAGGAGAAGUUGCAGUUUCAACCACUCGUCCAUAGAUGAUGCUGGGAGACGUGGCUAUUGCUGAUCAUUGAUGACCCUCGAUUUAAAGUUAGAAAAAAAGGGAUCAUCACAGCAAACACAGAGCACUUAUGACCCAUUGUCACUGACUCUAUGGUGGAUGUGACAUUUGGCAAAGGUGCUGUUAAAGUGUCCCCAGCUCAUGACCACACUGACUUCCUGCUCUCCCAAUCCUCACUGUGAUUGGAGGAGAUGGGACCAUGACCUCAGACUGCGGCCAGUGGCUAGAGGGUGUUAAGUGAUUUGAUGCCAGGCAACGAGUAAUUACUGCACCGGUGGAGAGCAAGCUGUUCAGAGGAAUGAAGAAGCAUUCUGUGUCAUUACCAGUCUGCAGUCGUUCUGGAGAUGUCAUUGAACUCUUGCUGAAGAAACCGUGGUUUGUGUGCUGUCAGGAAAUGAGCAGAAAAGCAAUUCAAGCAGUGGAAGAAGGAGAUCUACAGAUAAUUCCUCACUUUUAUACAGAAAUGUAGAAGAGCUGGCUGUCCAACAGCAGCGAUUGGUGUAUUUCCAGACAGCUUUGGUGGGGUCAUCAGAUACCAGAUAAUCAUGUGACACUGCCAAACUCAAAGGACACAGAAGAGAUGGAUACAGUUGAAGUUAUAUUAAGAAAAUGUCCUGGCUCUUUCAGUACUUAUAAUGUCAGUGAAUGGGAGGUAGAGAUUUUGAAGCAAAAUAAAGUGCAUCCAUCCAUCAUUACAAGUGCUCCAGAUGGCUCUGGGGGUUAAUAAAGGCCUUCUGAAAUGAAGUGAUGCAUUUGUGUAUAAAAAUAUCCAUAUUUAAAACUUUAUAAACCAUAAGCUCUAGCUUCAGCUCAAUGCAUACUUGCUGAAUAAAAUUAAUUGAUUUUCACAAAAAAAUUUUUGUCCUGACCACAUUUUAAUAGAUUGUAUAUUUCAAUAUAUUUCAUUGAAAUAAAUAAAUUAAUUAUCUAUGAUGUAUAGUAUAGGAAUCAUAAUUUAUGUUACCAAUUUACGGGUUCUUAUUGAAAACAUUUUCUCUUCCAUGUAAUAGUGACUCUACUAAUGAAUAUGCACUUAUUUAAACCACAUGAAUGAGAUUCGAUAGUGUUCAAUGAAUAACCUAAACACUGGUUAGUUCUUCACACAAAGCUGUUAUAUGUGUUCAGAAUGGAUAGAGUAGAAUUAACUUUAUUGUUGCAUUCUAGAAAAAUUUGUCUUAGACAUCAAAUGGUUAAUUAAAAGCUACCCUAAAAAAAGAGUUUUAAGGCAAGAUUUAAAAAUGCUAAGAGUUUUGGCUUGCCUCAUCUCAAUAGGUAAAGAAUUCCACAGUUUGGGAGCUAAUGAAGAAAGAGCCCUAUCACCCAUCAAUCUUAAACGGGUUAAUGGAACAGUUAAAAGGCCAGCUUCAGAUGAGCGAAGGUCACGUGUUGGAGGAUAAGGAAUUAAAAGCUCAGACAAAUAUUGAGGUGCCAACGCAUGCAAAGCCUUGUAAGUAAGCAUCAAAAUGUUAAAAUCAACCCUAAAGCUAACAGGGAGCCAAUGUAAAGACUCAAAGACAGGAGUAAUAUGAUCUAGUAAGGAUUGAACAUCUAGUAAGGAUUCUAGCAGCCGAAUUUUGCACUAAACCCCCGCCAACAAGGGGUUACAGUAAUCAAUCCUGGUGAACACAAGUGUUAAUCAGCCUCUCAGCAACA